GAUGAACGCUGGCGGCGUGCCUAAUACAUGCAGGUCGAGCGAACGGACGAGAAGCUUGCUUCUCUGAUGUUAGCGGCGGACGGGUGAGUAACACGUGGAUAACCUACCUAUAAGACUGGGAUAACUUCGGGAAACCGGAGCUAAUACCGGAUAAUAUUUUGAACCGCAUGGUUCAAAAGUGAAAGACGGUCUUGCUGUCACUUAUAGAUGGAUCCGCGCUGCAUUAGCUAGUUGGUAAGGUAACGGCUUACCAAGGCAACGAUGCGUAGCCGACCUGAGAGGGUGAUCGGCCACACUGGAACUGAGACACGGUCCAGACUCCUACGGGAGGCAGCAGUAGGGAAUCUUCCGCAAUGGGCGAGAGCCUGGCGGAGCAGCGCCGCGUGAGUGAUGAAGGUCUUCGGAUCGUAAAACUCUGUUAUUAGGGAAGAACAUAUGUGUAAGUAACUGUGCACAUCUUGACGGUACCUAAUCAGAAAGCCACGGCUAACUACGUG
rnacentral:rRNA from 1 species